GAACACCGAUGGCGUAGGCAGGUUACUGGGCCAUUUCUGACGCUAAGGCACGAAAGCGUGGGGAGCGAACCGGAUUAGAUACCCGGGUAGUCCACGCCGUAAACGAUGGAUACUAGCUGUUGGAGGUAUCGACCCCUUCAGUAGCGAAGCUAACGCGUUAAGUAUCCCGCCUGUGGAGUACGGCCGCAAGGCUAAAACAUAAAGGAAUUGACGGGGACCCGCACAAGCGGUGGAUUAUGUUCUUUAAUUCGAUGAUAACCGAAGAACCUUACCAGGGCUUGACAUCCAGGGAAGGUCUGCGAAAGUAGACUGUGCCUUUUGGAACCCUGUGACAGGUGAUGCAUGGCCGUCGUCAGCUCGUGUCGUGAGAUGUUAGGUUAAGUCCUUCAACGAGCGCAACCCUUGUGAAUAGUUGUAUUUUUCUAUUCAGACUGCCCCGGUAACGGGGAGGAAGGAGGGGGNAUGAUGUCAGGUCAGUAUUUCUCUUACGUCCUGGGCUAGAAACGUAAUACAAUGGCUGGUACAAUGCGCCGCGAAGCCGCGAGGUGAAGCAAAUCGCACCAAAGCCAGUCCCAGUUCGGAUUGUAGGCUGAAACUCGCCUGCAUGAAGUCGGAAUCGCUAGUAAUCGCAAAUCAGCAAGUUGCGGUGAAUACGUUCCCNGGGUCUUGUACACACCACCCGUCAAACCAU
rnacentral:rRNA from 1 species